CUCUAUCAGAUAUAUUUACAGAAUUAUAGUUGUUCAAAGUUUUUUAACUUUAGUGAUAUCACUUUCAGUGAAGAUGACUGAUAGCAUAUUUGUGUCACAUCACAUUGACUUUGCAUUGCAUUACGAGAAUUGCAAGGAAAGCAUACACACACACAAAUUUAAUUUUGCAUAUAUAAAAUAUUAGCAACAGGCACUUUUAGACCAAACAAGAAUGGGCAUCACCUAUGAUGGAGUCAACCAAAAAAUUAAAGGAUGAGUUUCAAUGGGCUGAGCUUAAACUCUUGAAGGUAUGGAGUCCAGACUCUCCUGAAAACUUAAAGAUGGGAUCUGGAUCCUCAGGUGGUAAGCGACUGCUUUAUUGCAUAACCAUCCAGGCCAACUCUAUUAGUUUUGAUGGCAUAUAUUAUGAAAGGCAUCAGCUAGUUUAUCACUAAUAGCAGAGCUCCACUUUAUUUAUAUCUAUGGUUCUCAAUCGCCGUUCCAUAGAACAUGGAUGUUCUGCAGACCUAUUCAAGGUGUUCCGCAAAAUAAUUUAUUAAAUAAUUAAGUAUUAAAUAUUCAAGUAAUCAGAAU
rnacentral:lncRNA from 1 species